GGAAGAAUGGUGUGCAUAUAUAUCAAGAGAGACCUAUGCUUUGCUGUUUGAGGUCAUGGAUACCCAAAAUUCAGUGAUGAGAAUUUACUUUGAUGGAGUGGAUUCUGUAGAUUUGCUGAUAUUUACAUCUACCCAGCUGCAUUUUUACUCGCUGAACACUGUUACAAGUCCACGUACAGAAAAUUACUUAUGGGGAAUUUUUCGUGAUCAAAAAAGUUGACAUGACAGGUGGAAAGAUGGUGGGAACCGUUGAUGUAGUCGUUCCGAAAGACUCGUCCACCCCUUAUAGAGAGCCUGAGCCUAUCAUGGAAGCAUUACAACAACUUUUGAAUAUUAAGAAGGAUGAGCAUUAUUCUUACCUUACCAGAUUAAGGUUUCUGGAUUCUACUGUAAAAAUGUUGUUGGCGUUUAACUCGGAAGAGCCCCCCGUGAAGGAUGAGCAUUCUGCAUCAGCAAGUGUUAAUAUUUUUUCAAUUGUCGUGAUAUUUUCUCUUAUAUAGGAACUUCUUCGUGGUCUGUCAUAGCUUAUCUUCCACCUUUAUCCUUUUAUCAGAAAUGAAGACGACAUGUCCAUUGCAAGUGAAGCUGGAAAAAGAUGCGGCUGAAACCUGCCUUGCAACAUACAAGAAACCACUUACAUCUCUGCCAUGCUUUCCUGAUC